UCCUGUAUCAAUUUUGAAAAAGCUUGAGGAUAUCAGGCAACCAGAGGGAUCUGGUGUAACCCUUGAAUGUGAUCUCUCACGGCACAACGUGGACAUAAAGUGGACAAAGAAUGAUGUUCAGCUUAAACCGGGAAAAAAUCAUCGUAUUUACUCCAUGGGAAGAAAGUGCUUUCUACAGAUACUGAAGU